rnacentral:rRNA from 2 species
AACGCUAGCUACAGGCUUAACACAUGCAAGUCGAGGGGCAGCAUUGGGGUAGCAAUACUUCAGAUGGCGACCGGCGCACGGGUGAGUAACACGUAUCCAACCUGCCGCUUACUCGGGGAUAGCCUUUCGAAAGAAAGAUUAAUACCCGAUGGUAUAAAGAGUUCGCAUGUUCUCUUUAUUAAAGAAUUUCGGUAAGCGAUGGGGAUGCGUUCCAUUAGAUAGUUGGCGGGGUAACGGCCCACCAAGUCUACGAUGGAUAGGGGUUCUGAGAGGAAGGUCCCCCACAUUGGAACUGAGACACGGUCCAAACUCCUACGGGAGGCAGCAGUGAGGAAUAUUGGUCAAUGGACGAGAGUCUGAACCAGCCAAGUAGCGUGAAGGAUGACUGCCCUAUGGGUUGUAAACUUCUUUUAUAAGGGAAUAAAGUGAGGGACGUGUCCCUUUUUGUAUGUACCUUAUGAAUAAGGAUCGGCUAACUCCGUGCCAGCAGCCGCGGUAAUACGGAGGAUCCAAGCGUUAUCCGGAUUUAUUGGGUUUAAAGGGAGCGUAGGUUGACAUAUAAGUCAGCUGUGAAAGUUUACGGCUCAACCGUGAAAUUGCAGUUGAUACUGUAUGUCUUGAGUGUACAAGAGGUGGGCGGAAUUCGUGGUGUAGCGGUGAAAUGCUUAGAUAUCACGAAGAACUCCGAUUG